UACGGAGGGUGCAAGCGUUAAUCGGAAUUACUGGGCGUAAAGCGCACGCAGGCGGUUUGUUAAGUCAGAUGUGAAAUCCCCGGGCUCAACCUGGGAACUGCAUCUGAUACUGGCAAGCUUGAGUCUCGUAGAGGGGGGUAGAAUUCCAGGUGUAGCGGUGAAAUGCGUAGAGAUCUGGAGGAAUACCGGUGGCGAAGGCGGCCCCCGGGACGAAGACUGACGUUCAGGUGCGAAAGCGUGGGGAGCAAACAGG
rnacentral:rRNA from 1 species